UGGGGAAUUUUGCACAAUGGGGGAAACCCUGAUGCAGCGACGCCGCGUGAUUUAGAAGGCCUUCGGGUUGUAAAAAUCUUUUGUAUAGGAAGAAAAUGACAGUACUAUACGAAUAAGGACCGGCUAAUUACGUGCCAGCAGCCGCGGUAAUACGUAAGGUCCGAGCGUUGUCCGGAAUCAUUGGGCGUAAAGGGUACGUAGGCGGGUAAGCAAGUUAGAAGUGAAAUCCUAUAGCUCUACUAUAGUAAGCUUUUAAAACUGCUCAUCUUGAGGUAUGGAAGGGAAAGUGGAAUUCCUAGUGUAGCGGUGAAAUGCGCAGAUAUUAGGAGGAAUACCGGUGGCGAAGGCGACUUUCUGGCCAUAACCUGACGCUGAGGUACGAAAGCGUGGGUAGCAAACAGG
rnacentral:rRNA from 1 species